UUAGGGGAAAUUAGAAUGAGUAUCUUGGCCACAUAAAACCAGGUACACAGUACCAUAUAUACAGCUAAGUCCAACCAAUGAGAAUAUAGAGAAACCAAAUCACCAAUUUCAUUACCAAUAUAUAUUUUCCACCAUCACACAGAUUCACCUUCCUCCCCCUAUAUAUGACUCCCCCAACCUUCUUCCACUGUUACCAUUCAACACACACUUCCUUCUCUCUCUCUCUCUCUCUCUCUCUCUUCCCACCUUUUUUUCUUUCGUUUUCUCCAUACUUUUCCUCUCAGCUUUAGAUCUUAGUCGUAUUGGAACAUGCUGUGUAUGGUUUUUUUAUAUGUUCUAUAUCUCUAUAUCUCCUCCUUCCGAUUCUAACUCUGAUCUAUAAUCUAUUUCAAGGGUACAAUAUAAAUAUGAAAUAUUUCGAUGUGCCCUUUUUAUCUUUUGAGAAACUACUCCUUCCUAUAAGGAUUUGCCAAGGUACGUGAGUCUUUCCCUUUUCGAGGGAUUACUGUUUGGUUUUGAUUCUAACAUCAAGGGUUCUUUUUUAAAAUCUCUUUUUGUUUACACAAGCGAAAGUAUGGUUCUUUUUAAUCAACACAGCAAAACAAGUACUUUGUAAAAGUAUAGUUAGCUGGCUUUGAAUCCGGCUGGUUUGGUUUUCUUCAAUCGUUGGAGGGUCUGAAAGUAAGCGCUUUUGUUGUUCUUUAUGGAGUGGUUGAAUUUUGUUGUUUUCUUUUUUAUUUAUUUUAAUUGGGGUUUUGGCUUUUCUUUUGUUCUUGAGGUAUGAAUUGAGUUCAUGUGGUUAGAUUCCAUUCGGGGUACCCAACUGGCCUCGUGUGGCAAACACAAACUGACCACUUGCAACAGGCCACAUCAGCGACUCCUCGUGGCCUUGCUGCUAAAAUUCCACAUAAAAUCUCAAUUUUCCGUGUCCCCUCUUUCUUUUCUAUUUUUUACCCUCUCUUGCUUUCUCUCUGUUUCAUGUUGUUCACCUUUUUUUUUUUUUUUUAAUUUAUUUUCCCUCUGGACAAAUUUCCGUGACAUUAACUGGUCUUCACUAUUGGAGUAACCUAUUGAGCUUUUUAGCCAUACAUACGUUUCACUAAAAGUGGCAAUAAUGCUUUAUAGCUUCUAAAUAUAUACACAUGUCUAUGUAUGUGCAUACCUCUCUUUUUCAGAAGCUAUAGUUGCAUGGACAGAUUGACAGUCGUUGUUUGCGGAUGUAGCAUCAUCAAGAUUCACAUGCAAAUGAAGGUGGAUGGGACUGUGAUGCAAUCUAAGCGCUGGUCUUUUUGAUGUGAGAAUCUUGAUGAUGCUGCAUCAGCCAUAAACGGCUUUAAAAAGUUGAACAAGUACUGCGAGUAGAGACACCCCAAUUAAAGAGUGAAGAUAAAAAAGAAAGAAAGUGGUAGGUAUACACAUAUGCACACACAUACACAGCUCAAACUUCCAGGCAUUGUCCAUGAGUUCACGAUGCAUUACAAGGAGAGGUGACUCUUUCUGCUUUCCUUUCUGUUGCUGUCAGACAGUACUAGGUUAUCGAACAUUGGCUAUUUGGAUUUUGGAGGCUCAGUGGAGCGGCUGAGUGUUAGGUCCUUUAUAUGCUGACUUCACAGAUCUAUGAAUAUUCCUUUUCAACAGGAAUGCUGCAAGAGAAAUGGUGUCUUUUCAGUUUCUUAAUAUAUAUUCAAACAUCACUUUAUCCAAAUCUUGAGCCAAUAAAGACACACACACAUAAUGCAGAGAGUAAGAGAGAGAAAUUAAUAUUUGGAUUUUAGUUCGCCAUAUCUCAUGUUUCUCAUGUCAUUUUGUAUUGUAAGAGAGAGUGCUCAGCUUCUGUUAUUCAGAUCCA